rnacentral:ncRNA from 1 species
CCAGGUCCCGACGCACAUCCCCCCCCGGCGGCGGGACCUUCCGGAGCCGGGCUCCGGCGCCUACCCCCCCAGGCGCCGGGGCCCGGCUUUCCU